rnacentral:RNase_P_RNA from 1 species
AAAGUAAAUCGGUCUAUCGCUGCGGAGGGAAAGAAAAGCACAUGUGCUUUAAUCUCAUCAGCAGAGGAAAGUCCGGGCAGCACAGAGCACCGCAGCGGUUAACGGCCGUCAGGCAGCAAUGUUUGGUCCCUGCUACAGAGACGAGACGCGUUUCGACAACGAACGCGGAGUGAAACGAGCACACUGCGGGCUGCAAUUCCAAGUAAACCGAUGAUUGAGCGCUGCUCGCGUGAGUCGGAGGGUAGGAAGCGAGAGAAGGACACAGCAAUGUGAUGUACGAAGGACGGAUGUACGAUGUACGAAGGAAUUGGUACUCCUCGAGAUUAAUGAUAGACGCUGCUUUGGCAGUACAGAACCCGGCUUAUAGAUUUACUUUCUUC